CCAAUAGCGUAUAUUAAAGUUGCUGCAGUUAAAAAGCUCGUAGUUGAAUUUCGGGACUAAUAUGUCGGUCGUGCCUCGGUACGUACUGGUAUUUUUGGUUUCUCCCUUCUGACGAACCUUGAUGUCAUUAAUUUGGUGUCUUGGGAAAUCAGGACUGUUACUUUGAAAAAAUUAGAGUGUUUAAAGCAGGCUCACGCUUGAAUACAUUAGCAUGGAAUAAUGAAAUAGGACGUUUGAUUCUAUUUUGUUGGUUUCUAGGAUCGACGUAAUGAUUAAUAGGGAUAGUUGGAGGCAUUAGUAUUCAAUUGUCAGAGGUGAAAUUCUUGGAUUUAUUGAAGACUAACUACUGCGAAAGCAUUUGCCAAGGAUGUUUUCAUUAAUCAAGAACGAAAGUUAGGGGAUCGAAGACGAUCAGAUACCGUCGUAGUCUUAACCAUAAACUAUGCCGACUAGGGAUCGGGUGAUGUUAAUUUUUUAAUGACUCAUUCGGCGCCUUACG
rnacentral:rRNA from 1 species